GAUUUAGAUACUAGAUGGCAGUAUAGCUGUGAUAAAUCCACAAGCAGUGGCGAACUGGCCUUGUAAAAUAUCUAGCCUUGUCUGCCAGAGGUCUGCAAUAAUGACAGGAAAAAUACCAGAAGCUGAACUUUGGAAAGUCUUCUGUGGUAGGUAAUAUUGGAGAUCUCCAGUUGGUUGCUAGUAGGAGUCUUGCCGUCGAUAUUAGGUAAAGGAGAAGAUGAAGAUUAUGUUUAAGAUCUGAAUAAGCAGGACUUAACAGCUUUGCAGGAACACUAACUAUGUAUAAAAGAACCCACCUUUUCCCUGCAUUUUCAACAUAUUG